CAGCACUGAAAGAACAGUAGUGUUCAAUAUGUAUGAGAUCCUGGUUACCAAAUGAGUGUGGGAUGGGACGGUGACCCCAGCCCAGUGCACCUAAAUGACCUCACAUCUCCCUGUGGAACAAGACUCAAUGUGGGCUGGGCCUCUGGAGGGCCCUUCAUGACCCAGGCGACCAGCCCACCCUGCCAUAGCAUUUCCUGAUUGCAAGGCUGUCCUGACAGGGAGGCUGUGUAUUCGAAGAAGACAGAUGCCCCAUCAGAGGCUGAGUACUCAAGGUGGUGUCUGGGCUCUGCAGUGUUGGGUCUGAUUGUAGGCUGCUGAGUUCUGCAGUGGCCCUUUGCUCAUCCUUCUCAGCAGGUGGGUCUUGCUCUUUUAUCAAGAGACAUGGUGAUGUACCAUAAAUCCAGACACUCUAAGCAAGUUGGCUGAGAAACUAAUGGUCCGUGGCAUCUCCCUGAAGACAAAACCACUUGCAAGUCUCUACCUCUUCAUCUCUGUUGGAGUGUUUC
rnacentral:lncRNA from 1 species